GAUGAAGAACGUAGCUAAAUGCGAUAAGUAAUGUGAAUUGCAGAAUUCAGUGAAUCAUCGAAUCUUUGAACGCACCUUGCGCUCCUUGGUAUUCCGAGGAGCAUGCCUGUUUGAGUGUCAUUAAUAUAUCAACCUUCUCUUUUUUGAGUUGUUUGGAUGUGGGGGUUUGCUGGCCUCUUAAAUGAUUCAGCUCCCCUGAAAUGCAUUAGCAGAACAACCUGUUCAUUAGCGUGAUAAUUAUCUAUGCUAUUGAAUGUGAGGGCAGUUCAGCUUUCUAACCGUCCUUGGACAAUUCAUCAUUAAUGUGACCUCAAAUCAGGUAGGACUACCCGCUGAACUUAAGCAUAUCAAUAAGCGGAGGA
rnacentral:misc_RNA from 1 species